CUUCGGUCCAAAGAUUUAUCGCCAGAGGAUGAGCCCGCGUAGGAUUAGAUAGUUGGUAGGGUAACGGCCUACCAAGUCAGUGAUCUUUAGGGGGCCUGAGAGGGUGAUCCCCCACACUGGUACUGAGACACGGACCAGACUCCUACGGGAGGCAGCAGUGAGGAAUAUUGGACAAUGGGUGAGAGCCUGAUCCAGCCAUCCCGCGUGAAGGACGACGGCCCUAUGGGUUGUAAACUUCUUUUGUACAGGGAUAAACCUAUUUACGUGUAAAUAGCUGAAGGUACUGUACGAAUAAGCACCGGCUAACUCCGUGCCAGCAGCCGCGGUAAUACGGAGGGUGCAAGCGUUAUCCGGAUUUAUUGGGUUUAAAGGGUCCGUAGGCGGAUCCGUAAGUCAGUGGUGAAAUCUCAUAGCUUAACUAUGAAACUGCCAUUGAUACUGCGGGUCUUGAGUAAGGUAGAAGUAGCUGGAAUAAGUAGUGUAGCGGUGAAAUGCAUAGAUAUUACUUAGAACACCAAUUGCGAAGGCAGGUUACUAUGUCUUAACUGACGCUGAUGGAC
rnacentral:rRNA from 1 species